GAUGAACGCUAGCGGCAGGCUUAAUACAUGCAAGUCGUGGGGCAGCAGGACUGUAGCCAUACAGUUGCUGGCGACCGGCAAACGGGUGCGGAACACGUACGCAACUUACCCUGAACUGGGGGAUAGCCCGGGGAAACCCGGAUUAAUACCCCGUAAUAUAAUGGAGUGGCAUCACUUUAUUAUUAAAGCUCCGGCGGUUCGGGAUGGGCGUGCGGCUGAUUAGGUAGUUGGUUGAGGUAACGGCUCACCAAGCCUACGAUCAGUAACUGGUGUGAGAGCACGAACAGUCACACGGGCACUGAGACACGGGGCCGACUCCUACGGGAGGCAGCAGUAGGAAUAGUGGGCAAUGGAGGCAAAUCUGACCCAGCCAUGCCGCGUGGAGGAGGAAGGCCCUCGGGGUUGUAAACUUCUUUUAUAGGGGAAGAAACCUGUGUAUUCUUACGCAGUUGACGGUACCCUAGGAAUAAGCACCGGCUAACUCCGUG
rnacentral:rRNA from 1 species